AAAAAAUCUAUGAUGGAGAGAGUAGAUGUUUGCGGAAAUUAGAGAGGAAAACGGCUGGUGAAAGUUUUCAUUCCAAUACAUUGAAGUUCACUCUGGAGAUGCACUUUUGAAUUAAGUAGAAAGUGACGUUUGCUGCGUUAAGGCCAUAAGUGAAUUACUUAUGUAAUUAAUUUGGGUGGUACCGCGGAAUAACCUUCGUCCCAUGA
rnacentral:ncRNA from 1 species